rnacentral:lncRNA from 1 species
AGGAGGCCAUGGUGAAGCUGAAAAGCAGCUUUACGGACCUCCCGAAGGAGAAGGCAGAUGGGACGGAGCAGGUGGAGAGACGAGAGCUUGGAUUCGUCCAGCCUUCUGGAGUGACAGAUGGCAUGAGUGAGCAGGAGGCCAGGGCAUGGGCACGGGGAGCUGCAGGGCCAUCGGAGGGACCCUAGUGUCUGAGCCGUGUCCUCUUGCAGGAGAGUCCUUCACCGUAUAUGAAAGCCAGGGGGCAGUGCCAAACACGUGGCACCAGGAGAUGGAAGAUGUCAUCAGGCUGGCCCAGAAGGAGGAGGAGAUGAAGAUUUUUAUGAAGUGAGCCUGGACAACAAUGUGGAGCCUGCACCAGGAGCGGCCAGGGAGGGUUCUCCCCAUGACAACCCCACUGCACAGCAGAUCGUGCAGCUGUCUCCUGUAAUGCAGGACACCUAGGAGCACCCAGGCUUGCCCAGCAAACCCUGCGUGCCAUUCUUUUACCAGGCAGCCGAGAACAGGGAGAUAAACAUCAUCAUCUUCUAAGAGCUGGUCAAGAAAUUUAAAACAACAACAACAACAAAAAGUUACAGGGUUCAUCUCCUACACAAUUCAUUUACUCCAUUUGAAUGCUAGAGCCACUCACAUUUAUUUGUGUUUCUAAUUUACCGUUUAAAUUUAUUUGUAAAAAGUUAAGGGAGAGUUGGUCUUUCCCUGAUGUUCUUUCUGGCAUCCUUUAGCAUUUUUAUUUUUUACUUGAUAAUUGUAGGUCAUUAGCACGCAUAUCGAGUUUGCCCUUAGGUGGUGGGAAUUCAUACACACAAAGACCCACUAUUUGCACAAAACUAUUCUUGCUGGUUUGGAACAGGCUGCCAUGCUUUUUAAAUGUUAUUGCAGCACAUAUAUUCAUUACAGAAUUCAGAUAAAAUGUGCUUAUGUUCUGCUAUUACGUUUGAUUGAAUCCUAACCACAGUGAGCUCUUCAUUAGCUCAAUAUGUGGUUUGCCCUCAAGUGCGCACUGUUUAUUACUUUGUAAUAUGCCACUGUGAGUACUGACAUUUAGAGUUGUUUAAAGGCCGAGAACUGGAAACAGCCUUUCCCCUAUUUUCUGUGUAUUGGGGAUGGGAGUCAUAACAUUUUGGGGAGCUUUUUAAAUCUCACAGAAGAGGAAAGUGGCCUGCUCUGGCAGGUGUGUGCAGGAUACAGUGUGUUUCAUUUGUUCUGGUGCCAAGAAUGAGCACUGUACUAUGGUAGUUCCCUUAGGAUUUGUGUGUGCUCUGGGCUUAUGAAGAUAUUGCAUCAUGAGCUGCAGCAGUUGUACCCUUUCUCGAUGACCUAAAAAGGGAUUAUUUCUGAGGAAUGAAAGGCUCCCAUCAUUGACUGUGGAUGUGGAAAACCUUUUCUAGCGUAGAGCAUUUAUAUCUACAAUACAUUUUAAAGUCAGAGUUCAUGUUACCUGUUUUAAUCACAUGAGUAUAUGUCCCAGUACACAAAAGGGCACCGGUUGGCAUUCUUCUUAAGGUAUUUAGUGAAGAUCAUAAGAAAUCCUUUAAGAGUUUAAAUGUCCCUGGAAGAGGCAUACGGGCGCUAGUCAAGAAUGAAUUCGAGUGAAGGAAAGCUGUGUGACACCUGGCCUUCCUCUAUGUUCAUGGAGCUUCUUUGAGGCUAGAAGAUUGAUUUUAUCAUCUAGACCUCUCUGGCUAAUACCUAUUCUUCAACCACAUUAGUUACUCUGACAUAGGA